CUUGAGCGGCAAAUAUUUGAUGUUCAUCUUCCCUGCACUAAAAUCCAGCUCUUGUGACUUUAAGGAAUAUGCCAAGAACACUCAAUUUAAGAUAAACCACAUACUAAAAGCCAGCUCUUGAUUCUCCAGAUCCUGCUGCCACCUCUUACCUAUAAAUCCCACCCCUCCCGUUUCAGUUUCUGCCACUUCACUGCGUGACCCUGUGCAGCGAGACUUGUACCUUGGUUCUAAUUUUGUUUUAUCAGCCAUCCCAGAAGAGAUUUUUCUUGAGUGAAAAUGGCAGAUGAAGGUACAGCCACUUGUGUAGACAUUCUUGUUGCUAUCAUCCUGCCUCCUCUCGGUGUCUUCCUCAAAUAUGGUUUGAAGGUUGAAUUCUGGAUCUCUGUGUUGCUGACCAUAAUUGGGUACCUGCCUGAGAUCAUUUAUGCUGUAUGGGUCAUCACCAAGAAGUGAUCUACUCUCCUGACGGUGGGAUACAAAGAUGGCCCUGGAAUAUUUUCUUUUGCAUGGAAUUUAAGGACAGAUGGAGUAUUACUAUUAUCUUGGUCCUAUUAAUUUCAAGAUAUAUGAGUACUAAAGAAAACAAAUUCAAGGUUUUUCUGGAAUAGAGAAUGCACGCUUGUUUGUUUGUUUGUUUGUUCA